rnacentral:rRNA from 1 species
GAUGAACGCUGGCGGCGUGCCUAAUACAUGCAAGUCGAGCGAACAGACGAGGAGCUUACUCCUCUGACGUUAGCGGCGGACGGGUGAGUAACACGUGGAUAACCUACCUAUAAGACUGGGAUAACUUCGGGAAACCGGAGCUAAUACCGGAUAAUAUAUUGAACCGCAUGGUUCAAUAGUGAAAGACGGUUUUGCUGUCACUUAUAGAUGGAUCCGCGCCGCAUUAGCUAGUUGGUAAGGUAACGGCUUACCAAGGCAACGAUGCGUAGCCGACCUGAGAGGGUGAUCGGCCACACUGUAACUGAGCCACGGUCCAGACUCCUACGGGAGGCAGCAGUAGGGAAUCUUCCGCAAUGGGCGAAAGCCUGACGGAGCAACGCCGCGUGAGUGAUGAAGGUCUUCGGAUCGUAAAACUCUGUUAUUAGGGAAGAACAAAUGUGUAAGUAACUAUGCACGUCUUGACGGUACCUAAUCAGAAAGCCACGGCUAACUACGUG